GAAACACGGACCAAGGAGUCUAGCAUGUGCGCGAGUCAUUGGGACUCUGAUAAACCUAAAGGCGCAAUGAAAGUAAAGGUCCGCCUCGCGCGGACCGAGGGAGGAUGGGCCCGUCCGCGGACGGGCCCCGCACUCCCGGGGCGUCUCGUUCUCAUCGCGAGAAGAGGCGCACCCAGAGCGUACACGCUGGGACCCGAAAGAUGGUGAACUAUGCCUGGUCAGGACGAAGUCAGGGGAAACCCUGAUGGAGGUCCGUAGCGAUUCUGACGUGCAAAUCGAUCGUCGGAACUGGGUAUAGGGGCGAAAGACUAAUCGAACCUUCUAGUAGCUGG
rnacentral:rRNA from 1 species